UACGGGAGGCAGCAGUGGGGAAUUUUGGACAAUGGGCGCAAGCCUGAUCCAGCAAUGCCGCGUGUGUGAAGAAGGCCUUCGGGUUGUAAAGCACUUUUGUCCGGAAAGAAAACCCCGGUCCUAAUACGGCGGGGGGAUGACGGUACCGGAAGAAUAAGCACCGGCUAACUACGUGCCAGCAGCCGCGGUAAUACGUAGGGUGCGAGCGUUAAUCGGAAUUACUGGGCGUAAAGCGUGCGCAGGCGGUCCGUUAAGACAGAUGUGAAAUCCCCGGGCUUAACCUGGGAACUGCAUUUGUGACUGGCGGGCUAGAGUAUGGCAGAGGGGGGUAGAAUUCCACGUGUAGCAGUGAAAUGCGUAGAGAUGUGGAGGAAUACCGAUGGCGAAGGCAGCCCCCUGGGCCAAUACUGACGCUCAUGCACGAAAGCGUGGGGAGCAAACAGGAUUAGAUACCCUGGUAGUCCACGCCCUAAACGAUGUCAACUAGUUGUCGGGUCUUCAUUGACUUGGUAACGUAGCUAACGCGUGAAGUUGACCGCCUGGGGAGUACGGUCGCAAGAUUAAAACUCAAAGGAAUUGACGGGGACCCGCACAAGCGGUGGAUGAUGUGGAUUAAUUCGAUGCAACGCGAAAAACCUUACCUACCCUUGACAUGGACGGAACCUGGCUGAAAGGCCGGGGUGCUCGAAAGAGAACCGUCGCACAGGUGCUGC
rnacentral:rRNA from 1 species